GAGUAAAAUUGCAAAGUUUGGUUGCGAAAUGUUGUAAAGUGCGGUGGCGUUCGCAAAUUUUGUAUACUUUUGUAUUGCGUGUGGAAAUUGCUACCACAUUUGGGCCGAAAAUGGUAGCAAUUUCCGCACACAAUACAAAAGUAUACAAAAUUUGCAAACUUUGCAAGGCUAUACAACAUUUCGCAACCAAACUUUGCAAUUUUACUC